UACGGGGGGGGCAAGCGUUGUUCGGAAUUACUGGGCGUAAAGCGUGCGUAGGCGGUCCGCGAAGUCUGAUGUGAAAGCCCCGGGCUCAACCUGGGAACUGCAUUGGAAACUAACGGGCUCGAGUGUGGCAGAGGGGGGUGGAAUUCCACGUGUAGCAGUGAAAUGCGUAGAGAUGUGGAGGAACACCGAUGGCGAAGGCAGCCCCCUGGGCUAACACUGACGCUCAGGCACGAAAGCGUGGGGAGCAAACAGG
rnacentral:rRNA from 1 species